UUUGAGUUUCCAGUUCGUUGAUAGAAUUUAUGUUACCAUUUGGGGGUUAUGAAUAUUGAAAAAUAGAUGUUCUUCAGUAAUUUGGUUCAUUUCUAAAGUUUCUUUCCUUCAAUAUUUCUCAACGGCAGGAAAUCAAGAUAAAAAAGCAAACGAAACCUAAGUACAAUCACGCAACUGAUGUCAGAGCGGGCUUAGAACUUGAACCGUGAUUAAAUAGUAAAUACACGAGACAACAGUUUAUGUUUCUGCAACGAGUUUAGCUCCAAACUGUAUGGGUAUCGCAAGUUUCAUGCAUGCUGCAAUUCUGUUGAGGGUGAGGUGUUGUUGGACGAACUACACUGCUAGUAAUGUGCAGUUAUCAUAUUUCCAUAUCGCGAACCCACCUGCAUCAACCAUGUCCAAACGAUCCGUUGAGGUCCAGAGGUUGUCGGUUUGAUUAAACCAAGAUCACAAAAGGGUUGUGAAUUGUGAUGGACCGUUUAGAAGCAAAUAGCAGUAGAAAUCUUAUUCAAAUCUAUGAAUCAAUAAAUACCUCUUUCAUGCCUUAACAGUGAGGGGAAAUGAACUUCCCUUUAAUGUACUUUCAACAAAGAUUUAUCCCGGGGGGGGGGGGGGGAAACAAAGAUGGUGGAUUGUUAUCUUCAGCACAGUGAAGGAACAACAACAGCAACAACAAUACAUAAGUGGUUUUGUUACAAUUAAAAAAGAGUAGAACACAUUUAUGCCAAAGGUACGUAGUUGCCCUUAACUCAUGAUGUUUUCUCCACACCACAAAUCAAGCACUUCUCUUCACCAUCUUUAAUUUCUUGAUACACAGCAUUACUGCAGCAGCAGCAGCUUCAAUCCUGGGGAAGGCAAGAUGAAGAGUAGUGAUGACCCUCCAGGGGCUUUGAAGGGUGAGAGAGGGGAAAAUAGAUGACAAUGGGUUGUGGGUUUUUGUAGGGUUAGGAAAAAAGCUAGAGAGGAAGUGGAAGUGGGUAUGGAGUCCAUGGGGAAGAGGAUCUUCUCAGCAUAUCCCUUUCUCUCUGAUCACAUUUUA
rnacentral:lncRNA from 1 species